GAAGAUCCUGUUGAAGCGUCAUAGCUCUGCGUCACCGCCGGGGGCUUAGAGCUAGGCAGGGAAAAGAAGGGUAUCUGUCAACCCGGAGAAGGAACUUCCGGAAGCAGAGAGUCUGGCAACUUACGUCCCGAAAGCUCCUCCCCCGGCGCGCGGGGGCAGUAGAUCUUUCCAAGGGGGCGACUCUGAGGGCCCGAGGGAGCCGCGGUCCCCUCCAAUAAAACAUUUUGGGGGGCCGCCCCCAAGUUGAUGGGCAUUACUAUUCAAAUAGUGUGCGUGCACCACGUCCUGUGAUUGAGUAUGCGGGACAGUGCUUACCAGCCCCCCCCCAAUAUUUUAUUCACGUUGGCAUAAUAAUAAUAAUAAAUUUUUAUUUAUAUCCCGCCCUCCCCAGCCGAAGCCGGGCUCAGGGCGGCUCACAACAAUAAAAUAAUACAACAUUCUGAAAUCAUUUCAUUAUAAAAUGAAUUCAAAUCAAAUUGAAUAAUAAUAAAUCCCUAAGAUCUUUAUGACGUACCUGUCAACUAUGAUAGCGGAAAGUGGUACCUCCAUGGCCAGGAGCAGCCUAUCUCCUUCUGCCUGAGACAAGCUUUUUAGUUGCCCCUUUGUGAAUAGGGUUUUAUGGAUUGUAAAUGUUUUAUUGAUGAUUUGUUAAAUUUUAGGUAUGAUUUAUGCUGUAUUUCUAAUGCUCUAUUAUGCUUUAUCACGCUACUGUUAUUUAUUGCGUGUAAGCUGCAAUGGAUAACAGCAUAGAAAUGCAAUCAAACCAAGCUUCUAAGGAGGCCUUUUGCUACGGGGUCCUGCCGCUGCACAUCUUUCCAGGCACUUCUGUGGGAAGCAGACCGGAGGGCUCGAUUGGGGUAGGCACCCCCACCCCACAUUCUAGUCCAGCAGAAGCGAGUCUCUUCUCCUGUUUUGCUGCUUGGAAUCUGCUGUGGCUGCAGCAGCUUUAAAUGAAGCCACUUAAUAUUGUUUGCACUGGCUGGCAGCCUGCCCCCCGGGAUUGGAUGCUGGGGACAUUGCCACCUCUACUGGUAGAUGCUGCCUGGGACAACAUGGGUCUUCUGUAUGCCAAGCAUGGGCCCUUCCCUAGAAGUUGGUAUGGAAAAAUUGAGGGGAAUAGGGCUGUAAAAGCCAACCCCAAGUUCUAUGGGUCAGAAAAGCUAGAGUGGAGGCAGGAAGCAAUGGAAAGCAAGGAAUAUCUUUAUUUUUCUGUUGCAGCAGAGUCCUCACCAUCACCUUGCAAGGAGGUGAUGCCCCAGGAUAAAGGUGUGUAAGUGCUUUUGAAGACUUUAGAAGUCGCCCCUUAGCCCAGAGGCUUUCAACUUUUUUGAGUCCACGGCUCCCUUGUCCAACUACAAUCUUUCUGUGUCUCCCCUGAGGGGAAACACUCCAAGCCUCAGAAGCCCAGCUAUGUCACCCCUUGUCUGCAAAACUGACAACCCCUCAGCGUUCCCUCAGGCUCCUCUGCUUUCCCAUCUCCUUGGGAGUCUUCUGGACAGCAGCCACCACUCCACCCCAAAGAGAGGUGUCUCCUAAUGCCGCCGCCCCCCGGGGGGGGGAAAGGAUGCCCCCAGCCUUAGUGGCCUGAUGGAGAAAGAGAUGUGAGUG